AUAACAAUGAUUCACCUACUAACGGCGAGUGAACAGGGAAAAGCUCAAAGUUGGAACCUCCUGGCCCUAGGCCUGGCGGAUUGUAAACUAAAGCUUUCGAGUAGUUCGGCUAGCCCAGUAAAUAAGUUCUCUGGAAAGGGACGACAAAGAGGGUGAAAUCCCCGUUUUUGGCUGGAGCAUAGUCUUGCGUUUGCUUGGAAGUGAAGAGUCAGGUUGUUUGGUAUUGCAGCCUAAAGUUGGAGGUAAAUCUCUCCUAAAGCUAAAUAUUGACGAAAGACCGAUAGCGAACAAGUACCGUGAGGGAAAGAUGAAAAGCACCUUGAAAAGGGGGUCAAAAAGUACGUGAAAUUGCUGAAAGGGAACCGUAUGAAAUCAGCCUGUCUCUUUGGUAAUCAGCCUGGACUUUGGUCUGGGUGCACUUGCCAGUGAGUCAGCCUACGACAAUUUGACCUGGGGGAAAAAAUCAGGGGGAAUGUGGCCUCGGCUUCGGUUGAGGUGUUAUAGCCCCUUGAAAAAUACUCUGGGUUGGAUUGAGGACUGCAGCGAGCCUUAUGGGAUGAACUGUGGGUGCUUGGUCAUAUCUAGAAAGAAAUCUCUAUCUCUGGAAGGGUCUUUUUAGUUGGGGUCAACUCCCCUACUUUUUCUUUUCUCGC
rnacentral:rRNA from 1 species